CCUGUGAGAUGUGCUAUCUGAGCAGAGACCUGAGUGGAGCGAGGGAGCCGGCCGUGUGAGUGUCUGGGAGAUGAGUCCAGGCAGGGAAAGCCCUGAGGUGGGAGUAACCAGAUAUUGAGCACCCUGAGGAGAAGGAACUGCCCCAGUGAACCUCCAUCCUUCAGCACUCCCAUGUGACUGGCUGAGUGCCCUGCAGGGGUCACACCAGGAGAGCAAAAGCUCUCUAAGUUUGAAAGGCUGCUUUGGCUGGCUGGCUGUCAGGAGGCUGGGAGCGUCACUGGACAUGGUGUGAGGAGAAGGCAGCUUGCCUGAAAUGGUGGUGGUGAAAAGUUCGUGGCUCAGAAUGAAUGAAAAAACAAGCAGCUUCUCUCCCAUCUGUGACUGAGAACUUAUGUUGGCCUCAAGAGGAAACUCAAGUGAACCUUCCAAGUUACAUGGACUGGAACGAGAUUUCUAGAGCAAACCUCUACAACUUGCCCAUAUGGAAUGAACAAAGAUGUCCACUUAAAGCAGACAAUAAAUUAUAAUCCACUUCAUGGCUGCUGGCCAUGGAACCUGCACCACGUUCUGAAGCACAUUUAAAGAAGCUUGUCUAACCCGCAAGAGGCUGUGUGUCCUGAUCAACAGUAUCGGGCCCAAGAGGAGCCCCAAGAGGCAGCAAGGUGGAGCAGUAAACUUUCUCCAGCUGAGGCUGGCAUUGUUAGAAGCAACCACAAAUGACAAUCUUGUGCAUCAUGCAACGAGAACAAUUUUUAGUAAAAACAAAUCUAUUUUGGUUCUGCCUUUUGUAAACAAUUCCUUUGCUCUGAAUAGUCUCUACUCUGACUGAUGCUAUGAUCCAGAAGAUGCUUCUUUAUUCUUCCCAGUAAUUCCUGGCAAAUCACUUGGGGCCAGUCUUCAAGAUUCCAAAUUUACCUCCUGAAAGAAUAACUCCCUCCCUCCCUGAUCUGAGUCCUAUGGUGCUCCUUACCCUGAGCACUUGUGUUUUAGAUGUUUACUAGGUGACAUCUGCAUUCCUGAGCAGGCUGCUCUCAAGAUGUUCUUGAGUCCUUUCAUUGUGGGUCUUCUGGAAGCCUCCAUACUAAGGCAGUAAGUGGAGUCUGGCUGACACCCUGGGAUGGAUGUAAUAUGUCUCUCACCAAGUAGGCCAGAGGAUAAUUUAGGAACUCUGGAUAUCAUAAAGGAAAUAGUGUUUCCUCAAAACACCUAGCUUUCAAAGUCAUGCUAAUUUGUCUUUGCAGAAAUGCUUAUUAAUUAGUCCUUUCAUAAUUCAGCAAUACUAGGUAAAUAAAAAUAUAUGAUUUGACUAACUGGCAGGAAUUUAAUAUUUUAGUGAGCAGAGAGUGGCUCAGGAGUGAUUUUUUAAAAAAAUUAAGCACACUACACAUUAAGCUCUUGUUUGAAAUUUAGAACUGAUUAGAUCACAACAUUAGAAAUCCAAUUGAGUUUUGGAGACCAAAGCGAAUAUUGAUGAUAGUGUCCUAAGAAUAAUAUUUUGUCAUAAAUUGCUCUGCUAAAAUUACAUUUUAUGAGAUGAACAUAUAUGUUUCCUUCUCACUAUAAUGAACUAUAUUUUGGAGUUAUUGGUUUGCCCCUUGUCAUUCAGUAUUGACACUGUGAAAAGCAGAACAUUCAGACAAGAGAAGCUUCUUGCUAUAAUGUACUUCCUGUUAAGAUCUCUCCCCAAAGUAACAUAAUCAGAAUCUAAUUAAGCCUCUAUGUCUUAUACCAUUAUUCUGGAAAUCAGGUAGAUAGAGAAACACGUCACAUAAUACCAUGGGGAUAUAGGGAGACAAAUCCAGUAUGCAGGAAAUCCUACAGACAAAUGAUCCAGUUUCUUCAACAAUCAAUGGAGUAAGAAAAAGGAUGGGUGAUAUUAUAGAUUAAUGGGAGAAUAAGAGGCAUCAUGACCAAAUGCAAUGUCUGGGUCAAAUUCUGAUCCUAAUUUGAACAAAGUAACUAUGAAAAGACAUUUUUGAGGCAGUCUGGGAAACCAAACAUGGACUUAUUAUGUUAGGAGUUAUAACUGUGUUGGGUGUGAUCAUUGGUAUUGGGGUGUGGAAUUAUAUUUAAAAAACAUGCAGUCAGAAAUUAAGUGGGGGAAUGAGGGAGGAAGUCUUUGUGAGAGAUGCAUAAUGAAAGUAUUUAUUUAAAGAUGAAAUGAAAUCUCUGGAAUUUGCUUUAAAAUAACUCUAGAAGAAAAAAAGAACUUCAGCAAGGGACAGAUGAAAAUGAAGGCAAAAUGUUAAUGACUGUUGAAGUUGGACGAUAUAUAUAUGGCUGCAUUAUUCUCUCUACUUUUGUGUAUUUAUUUGAAAAGUCCCAUAUUAAAAAGUUUAAAAACAAGCAAAUAUUCAUCACUCAGUACAAUGCUGCC